rnacentral:rRNA from 1 species
GAUGAACGCUAGCUACAGGCUUAACACAUGCAAGUCGAGGGGCAGCGGGAUUGAAGCUUGCUUCAAUUGCCGGCGACCGGCGCACGGGUGAGUAACGCGUAUCCAACCUUCCGUACACUCAGGGAUAGCCUUUCGAAAGAAAGAUUAAUACCUGAUGGUAUGAUGAGAUUGCAUGAUAGCAUCAUUAAAGAUUUAUCGGUGUACGAUGGGGAUGCGUUCCAUUAGGUAGUAGGCGGGGUAACGGCCCACCAAGACUACGAUGGAUAGGGGUUCUGAGAGGAAGGUCCCCCACAUUGGAACUGAGACACGGUCCAAACUCCUACGGGAGGCAGCAGUGAGGAAUAUUGCACAAUGGGGGAAACCCUGAUGCAGCAACGCCGCGUGAGUGAAGAAGUAUUUACGGUAUGUAAAGCUCUAUCAGCAGGAAAGAAAUGACGGUACCUGACUAAGAAGCCCCGGCUAACUACGUGCCAGCAGCCGC